rnacentral:rRNA from 1 species
CUGGCGACCGGCGCACGGGUGAGUAACACGUAUCCAACCUGCCGAUAACUCGGGGAUAGCCUUUCGAAAGAAAGAUUAAUACCCGAUGGCAUAAUUAGACCGCAUGGUCUUAUUAUUAAAGAAUUUCGGUUAUCGAUGGGGAUGCGUUCCAUUAGGCAGUUGGUGAGGUAACGGCUCACCAAACCUUCGAUGGAUAGGGGUUCUGAGAGGAGGGUCCCCCACAUUGGAACUGAGACACGGUCCAA